AGCUAUAAGAACUGUUCUGAAUACAAUAAUUUUUCAAGUUAUGAAAAUAUUACUUAUUAAGAUAUACUAAGCCCACUACAGACUAAAUUAUAUAAUAUAUAAAUAAUCCUUGAUUUGCAAUAGGAAUCAGUCAAAUCACCCAGACUAUAAUUUCAAAAUACAUUUUAACCCUGGUAUAUUAAAGCAUUUCUGGAAAUGCUCAUAAAUCAUGAUCUAAAUUGUCUUUAAUUUCCAUAAAAAAAUUAUAAUACAUUUCUGAGUCCAAAAAAUGGCAAUCAUUUAUUACUGAAAAUAUAUUCAAAUAUUGUCUGAUUAUAUAAAUGAUAACAAAAUUACUUCAGUAAUUAGUUUUAAAUAUUAUAAAACAACCUAAAACUGCAGUUUUCUUAGAGAGUUUAAUAAAGGAAUGAUUGCAGCACAGAAACAUAAAAACUUCUUUCAUAGACUGACUGACAUGCUUUCAUAUAUUACCUGGAGUAUCCAAUUUUGGGUCCAAUAUCUACUUAUGCAUUUAGAGAAAAUUAGGUUCAACCCAUCAAUCUUCAUCUUUCAAAAUUGGUAUAAAAUAAAGCAAUUACUUACCAUCUUGGAGAAUCCAGCUUCAGUUUCAAGUCCCAUAUUUCCAGAUUUUUCAGAAGUCUAGAUCUGACCUGUUGACCCCGCCAGAUUUGGGUAGGUCAUGGUGAGCACUGGAAUGUCUUGCUGCUUAGUAACUGUUGAUUAGAAAGUGACAUAAAGUUACAGGGAUGGCAGUACUAUCUAUUAGUUUGAUUAGAAAGAAUCAUAAAAACUGGAAAGAAAGAUUGAAAAUAUCUCCAAAAGUAGAUGCAUCUUUUUAAGUAUUUUUUGCAAGAAACCAUUUACCACAAUAGUUUAGUAAAAGCAUUAAUAAAAAAUAAAUGAUUAUAAUAAGGUAUUGCAUAUUUCAUCAAAAAACAAAAAAACAUAAUAAAUGACUUUGAAUUCAAUGAAAAUGUCAUUUUGUAACAUUCAUAGAAAACUAAACAUGUAUCUACUAGAUAACCACGUUAUAAAAUGUUAGCUUAUAACUUAGAGCAUCUGAAUUCAAUUCCAG
rnacentral:lncRNA from 1 species